rnacentral:tRNA from 1 species
GCGCUCGUAGUUCAAUGGAUAGAAUAUUGGAUUCCGGUUCCAACGAUUGGGGUUCGACUCCCCACGAGCGUA